ensembl:lncRNA
AACCAGGUCUGAACCAGGUCUAAACCAGGUCUAAACCAGGUCUAAACCAGGUCUAAACCAGGACUAAACCAGGACUAAACCAGGUCUACACCAGGUCUACACCAGGUCUACACCAGGUCUAAACCAGGACUAAACCAGGUCUAAACCAGGACUAAACCAGGACUAAACCAGGACUAAACCAGGUCUACACCAGGUCUAAACCAGGACUAAACCAGGUCUAAACCAGGACUAAACCAGGUCUAAACCAGGACUAAACCAGGUCUAAACCAGGACUAGACCAGGUCUAAACCAGGACUAAACCAGGUCUAAACCAGGACUAAACCAGCUCUAAAC